rnacentral:lncRNA from 1 species
AGCUACUCCCAGGAGAUCAUAUAAAUAAAUAGACAACUAGUACAUAAGUCCUGAUUGGGCCGUCGAGGCCACCAUGAUAUCUAUACCAAAAUUAAAGCAAGUAUAUAUCAAUACAAUACAUCAAACAGCUCACAAGCUUCCGCAAACCAACAACAUAGGCCAGCAUGGCUAUAACGUAGCUAUAAACCCCACACACUAGUCUGCAAGCCUCUAAGAGUAGUAAAGAUUGGUGGGACAGGGCCCCAGCCUACCCAUAAAGAUAUAUACAACAAAAGUUAACAAACCUCCCAACUCUGGCAGCUCCGGAGGAAAGGGGCUAGCCAACUAGAUAAAAGUCAAUCCUGCUGCUGAGGAGGUCUACNNNN